rnacentral:rRNA from 1 species
UAGGGAAUCUUCCACAAUGGACGCAAGUCUGAUGGAGCAACGCCGCGUGAGUGAAGAAGGUCUUCGGAUCGUAAAGCUCUGUUGUUGGUGAAGAAGGAUAGAGGCAGUAACUGGUCUUUAUUUGACGGUAAUCAACCAGAAAGUCACGGCUAACUACGUGCCAGCAGCCGCGGUAAUACGUAGGUGGCAAGCGUUGUCCGGAUUUAUUGGGCGUAAAGCGAGCGCAGGCGGAAUGAUAAGUCUGAUGUGAAAGCCCACGGCUCAACCGUGGAACUGCAUCGGAAACUGUCAUUCUUGAGUGCAGAAGAGGAGAGUGGAACUCCAUGUGUAGCGGUGGAAUGCGUAGAUAUAUGGAAGAACACCAGUGGCGAAGGCGGCUCUCUGGUCUGCAACUGACGCUGAGGCUCGAAAGCAUGGGUAGCGAACAGGAUUAGAUACCCUGGUAGUCCAUGCCGUAAACGAUGAGCGCUAGGUGUUGGGGACUUUCCGGUUCUCAGUGCCGCAGCAAACGCAUUAAGCGCUCCGCCUGGGGAGUACGACCGCAAGGUUGAAGC